rnacentral:lncRNA from 1 species
GAAGUUGCUGAGUUUCACAAGAAUUCCUCAGCAGAGCUGGGAAUUGGUCACAGAUCUGUAGAGUCCCAGGAUUUUGCACAGUUGGCAAGUCAAAAAGUGGAUCCUUCAUUGGGCGUAAGGAAGGAUGAUUCCUUUUCUGAAACAGCGUUAAAAGACAUACAUCAGGAGCUAGUUAACUCCUAUAUUUAUACACACAAAGACGUGGAACAUAAGGAGGAGUUUAAGUGCCCGCAAACCCAAAAAGGUGGCAGGAUACGUAGUGAGGAAGGAGAUGUGAGUAACCUCCAUGCAUCUACUUGCCAUAUAGUCAGGACGAUUGUAAACGAUCCCUCUCCAGCCCCGAGUUCUGAUGCGCUGCCCGGCAGAGACACCAGCAACCCCUUUGGCUGUGGACCUUUACUGAUCACCGUUACACAGGACGGCAGGGUCAUCAAAUCUCUCGAUGGAAGGGACAACCCAGCCCUGGAUGUAGUUCACACACAGACAGUGUCUGAUGAAGAAGGUUGCAAAAAGCCAAAGGUUUAUGAGACUGAUGAGUUCAUCCAUUAUUUACUAAACUACUAUCAGACACCAGGCUAUGCACGUGUUUGCCCAGAGCCAAAAACCACUGCACAUGAGCGCUGGUGGAAGAGAGUGGUGUCUGAUGAGGAUAGUGAUAUUGACAUCAGCUUGAGUGGCAAACACGUACAGCACUUCAGAGGAGUGAGUCCUGUACAAAACCUCACCAAGAAAAACUGUAAUCACGACAAUAACUGUAGACUGGUGAUCACUGUUGGGGAACUUGAGUCAACAGAUACGCUGUUAGAAAACAGGACCCAGGGGGGUAGGUUUGCAAAAAAGUUGCAAGUGCAGGGGAAUCACUCACUGACUUCUGAUAAGUUACCACUUGCUGGACUGAAUCAUUCAUUGGAUUGCACUGCUGUUAGUCAUGACAAGGAAUUCAAACAAGAAGAUGGUAGUGAUGAAAGUACCGUAGCGCUCAAGGCACGUAGGUCUGCUUGCAGAUUAAAGGAUUUGUUGGAAGACAUCAGUGAUUCCAAGUACUCUAGAGAGGCACGUAGCAGCUUAAUGAAGAGAACAGAAAGAAGGUGUGAAGAAAUUUACACCAAUUAUAAUAAAGGGUGCUUGCCUGCCAGAGCCAGGGAAAGACAAUUACUGGUUUAUCUUGAAAAUGUAACUCUGGAAGGUCAAGAGAAGGCAAGCAGCAAAUGUAGCUUCUGCUCGAAUUCUGUCUACGAGGGCUUUGGAAGGCAGUGUGAACAUAAGCUUAAAAAGUCAUGCAAGAGGUCUAGUAGUAAAUUAAGAUGUGAAGGACAGAAAAGUGAGAGACAAUCCAGAGAAGAGGAGAGAGAUGCUCACAAAAUGAAGAAAAAACGAAAAAAGCUUUCUUCUAAUCUUUUAUCUGAUGAAUGUGGCUUUUCAGAGACGGACACUUGUGUGCAGCUGGAGUCACUCAGAAAGAUACAAAGAAAAUGUAAGAAAAUGCUCCACAACAAAGUGAAAUUAAAGACACUUCACACCGCUAUGGCAACACCAGAUGUUACCCCUCAUGGUGGCUCACCACUUCAGGAGACCCUCCAGAGGACAGGAGACGAGAGGAAAUUAAUCUUGAGAAGAGAGAUGGAUGCAGAUGUCAGAGGAUGCCCUCUUUUUCCUCUUGAGAUAAUUCAGACAAACCCCUGCCCAGAUACUUUCUGUGGAGCAGAGCCCAGAAGAGGAUGCUGAACAGCUGCUAUGUAAUGGCUUUUAAGUUUUUAUAUAGAAGUGGGAGAAGAAAGCCCUUUGGCCAUUAGAAGGUAUAUGAAAUACUGGGGUUUUCUUUUGCUUAGGUAAUUCCUUUGGCUAGAAUAUCUAACUGAUGUAGUGAGCCACAAAACCAGAAUCUGUGUUUGCCUUUUGGAUUACAGAGGACCAAAACUUUCUCCAGGGCUAGACAAACUUUCAUGGACCAGUUGCUAAGAACUGGAAAAGUACAGAUUGAGAUCUCAAAGUGUUAUAUUGUGAUUUAAGGUAGGGAACCAUGUAAAUAAUCAAAGUUACAGUAUUAGUAAUAAUGAGUCAUUGGAAAAAAAACUUAGCUAUGUAAAUCCUAGAGCAAGCAUAUGAAGUGCCUCCUCAAUCAGAUUGUAAAAAUGAUGGGACUGGAAGGUGUGUGGAUUAUUUAUACUCAAUUGUGUGAAGUAAUAGGUUUCCAAAUAUGGAAAAAAAUCCCAUCUCCUGUAAAACCCACACUGUAAAAAUGUUUGUUUUCUAUUUACAUUGGUAGAGGUGUUUCUGAAAACAUGCUGGUCUUUGGGAGGAUGGAUUUCACUGAACUUGUGAAAUGGAUAUAGCACUUCCAGGAACUUGAAUGAUUGUCUGAGCAGAGCUCUGAAUGUUAGGUGGUGAAAAGGCAGUGCUUGUCAGCAUAUUGACAGUCCCCACAUAUAUAUAUGCAGGCUGAAAAUCAGAUCACAUGAUUUCAAAAUGUGCUCUUUGCAGUGCUCACAUGCAGUGAGAUAGCUACUUAGUAUGGGUUUUCUUACAAACAAUUUCCAGAGGAAUUGUCAAAUGUUGUCAGAUUUGUGUUGCAUGUAGGUAAAAAUGUGAAAACGCAGUCUAGAAGCUUGAGUUAUAUCCAUAUUUAUUCAGCUGCCUAUAUUUAGAAGACAGCAACAAUUGCUUUUGGACAAAGUCCCUUAGCAAGAUAUAGAGGAGCAAUUCUAAGUUCAAUACACUAAUUAUUUCAGCUUUCAUUUUAGUACGCUUUAUUUAUUACAUGUCAAUAUACUAAGUUUAUGUGAUGAUGUUGCCUUCAUUACAUAGAAUCUUACCCAUGUUUGUAACUUCUGCUCUAAUAAAUAGUAAUUAAAAAAAAAUAAUUGUAAUUGU